rnacentral:rRNA from 1 species
GAUGAACGCUGGCGGCGUGCCUAAUACAUGCAAGUCGAGCGAACCACUUCGGUGGUGAGCGGCGAACGGGUGAGUAACACGUAGGUGAUCUGCCCAUCAGACGGGGACAACGAUUGGAAACGAUCGCUAAUACCGGAUAGGACGAAAGUUUAAAGGUGCUUCUGGCACCGCUGAUGGAUGAGCCUGCGGCGCAGUAGCUAGUUGGUAGGGUAAAGGCCUACCAAGGCGACGAUGCGUAGCCGACCUGAGAGGGUGAACGGCCACACUGGGACUGGGACACGGGCCAGACUCCUACGGGAGGCAGCAGUAGGAAAUCUUCGGCAACGGGCGAAAGCCUGACCGAGCAACGCCGCGUGAAUGAUGAAGGCCUUCGGGUUGUAAAAUUCUGUUAUGAGGGAAGAACGACUUUAGUAGGAAAUGGCUAGAGUGUGACGGUACCUUAUGAGAAAGCCACGGCUAACUACGUGCCAGCCGCCGCCGUAA